rnacentral:rRNA from 1 species
AGUGAACGCUGGCGGUAGGCCUAACACAUGCAAGUCGAACGGCAGCACAGUAAGAGCUUGCUCUUACGGGUGGCGAGUGGCGGACGGGUGAGGAAUACAUCGGAAUCUACUUUUUCGUGGGGGAUAACGUAGGGAAACUUACGCUAAUACCGCAUACGACCUACGGGUGAAAGCAGGGGAUCUUCGGACCUUGCGCGAUUGAAUGAGCCGAUGUCGGAUUAGCUAGUUGGCGGGGUAAAGGCCCACCAAGGCGACGAUCCGUAGCUGGUCUGAGAGGAUGAUCAGCCACUGGAACUGAGACACGGUCCAGACUCCUACGGGAGGCAGCAGUGGGGAAUAUUGGACAAUGGGCGCAAGCCUGAUCCAGCCAUACCGCGUGGGUGAAGAAGGCCUUCGGGUUGUAAAGCCCUUUUGUUGGGAAAGAAAAGCAGCAGGUUAAUACCCCGCUGUUCUGACGGUACCCAAAGAAUAAGCACCGGCUAACUUCGUG